UACGUAGGGGGCAAGCGUUGUCCGGAAUCAUUGGGCGUAAAGCGCGUGUAGGCGGCCCGGUAAGUCCGCUGUGAAAGUCGGGGGCUCAACCCUCGGAUGCCGGUGGAUACUGUCGGGCUAGAGUGCGGGAGAGGCGAGUGGAAUUCCUGGUGUAGCGGUGAAAUGCGCAGAUAUCAUGAGGAACACCAAUAGCGAAGGCAGCUCGCUGGGACGUUACUGACACUGAGGCGCGAAAGCGUGGGGAGCGAACAGG
rnacentral:rRNA from 1 species